GAUGAGUAGUUGUUGAUUCCAAGAUUGCCCGUAAUGUCGGUUAUGUGAAACGUCUUGGCCCUUGCAGACCGCAACCCAUUCUUUCGAAUUUCAAGCUAUCUUAUGGUUUUAUGAUGAGAGAGUCUCUUUAUAUCCCUUGCCAAGCAGAAUAAUGGGGAAAAACUCUUUUCUGUUUUGCGGUUGCAAGAGAAAGAGUAAGGAGUGGAGAGAAGAGCCGAAGACAGGAAGGCGCGCCUGAAGAGGCGAGUUCGAGAGAAGCGACAAGGAAGAUAGGCUUACGGAAUGGAGUCAGAUGAAGGAUCUGAGAACAGGGGAACAUAUAUUGGAGUGUGCUUGUGUACAUAGAGGCAAGAAGUCGUUACGCGUGAAAAGGAGACAGCGGGUAUAAAGGGAAAGAUUCGGCCGAGAAGGGAAGGGGGGCUCCAGGAAGCGGUAGAGGAAAAAUCGAGAGGUUUUCUUCUUUGUCGAUCUUGAAGAAGUUCCGGGGUUUCUUGGUAAGGGGAUAAAGAGACCGCCGAAGAUUGAGGGGGUCUUUGUCCUCUCCGAGUGGAAGGAAAGACGCAGUGGGUUAUUCUGUGGGUGUUUCUACGGAAGAAGAGUGCAGAACAGAGGGCUCUAAUUCUUCUAAGUAUUCUCUCUCGUUGGGAUUUAGGGCGUCGAAUUUUCGGGUUUGAAAUAACGAGAGUGCCGAAGAUCGAGGGGAUCUUCGUCCUCUCUGAGCGGAAGCAAAAACCGAGCGGGGGGGUCCUGUGGGUGUUUCUGUGGAAGAAGAGUGCAGAAAAUGGGACUUUUCGUCUUCUGGGUCUUCUCUGUUGUGGGAAUUCAGGGUUUUUCUCAGCUUCUUCUGGGUUCGUAUCAGUGAAGGGAGACGGAAGAAAAGAGCAGAACAAGCUAGGUAAAAGGAAGAGUCAAUAAUUUGUAGGAGGGACUAUAUGCUGAAAAUAUUAUAAUCUUCAUUCAAUCAGGUAUAGAUUGCUGGUUCAAGAGGUAUGCAAUAUCUAUUUAUACUAAUACCUCUUGAUGCUGGAUUCAAAUAAUAUAAUGUACUUAUUUCUCUCAUGCUUUUUGGUUGCAUUUGAGCAAUCAUUUGUUAGAGGCAGUAAGCCAGAUCUUGAAAUAUGGAAGGUUUUUAGAAAUUGAUGCUUCGCAUUUACUUUACCAACAAAGCUUUGGCACUUUCUUAUGUUGGUUUUACUAACAAAGCUUCCCGUUUACUUCACAAGGGUUUCUAUUUUGUGGGAACCAUGUCCUCGAAUUUUUAAUUCUGCUUGGUUACAUAGUCCUUGCAAAGUCAUUCCAGCAAAAGUGCACAAAGAAACAUAGUUCUCAGGUUGGAAACUAAUCAUGGUCAAAUGAUAAUGCUCUCCAGUCUUUUGGUCUUGAGACUAAAGAGAAGCUUGCAGGAAAUGCCUGCAUUAUACAAGUCACCACUUGUACAUUAUAAGAAAUGCCUGCAUUAACGAAGAUGUUUAGGAAUCCAGAAUGCUUGGUUUUGCUUGGCUAAAGAAUCCCUGGAAAGUCUCCCCAGUUCAACGCGUGCAAGGGACUGUGAGAAUUUUCGAGCUGUAGGAGUUACCACUUGUGUGGAACAUUCAAGUCAACACUUGCCUUUGCCGUAGUGAGUCAACCUCUGAGACAUAAAUUGUGUUCUUCUUUGAGUUUUCGUUCGAAAUGUUGUUGAAGGGUUGAAGUAAUAAAAUUAAGAGAACUUAUUUGUUACUAAAAGCACCCCUUUAUUGUAUAUUGAUAUCCCGAUUUAAAGUAGUAUAAUAGAACUUCAGAUUUCUAAGGAUUGUUUUUGUCUAAGCAAACAUUUGUGGUCCCAAAAAGUUGUUAUUUAUGAUAAGCAAGACAAUUACAAAGCAACA